UUGAAGGGAAACGAUUGAAGUCAGUCGUACCGGCGGAUAAUCAGCCUUUAGAUGCGAUUUUGUGGAGCGUGAAGAGCUAAUCGCCUUCAUGCCUGUAUAUUCGUGUACUUGGGGUGUACUUAUUCGUGUGGUAAGUUAACAUCAAUUUUGGUGGUCAUAAAAUGGCUGGAGGAAUGUAGCUUCGAUCUUGUAUCGAAGUGUUAUAGACUCUGGUAGAUGUGAUGAUUGGGAUUGAGGAUUGCAACGGAUACCCCUUCGGGGCUACUCGUCUGAUCUCUGAAGGUUGCUCUGGUGCCGAAAGCUUGCUUACGGUUAUCAAAGUCGAUGGUCAAUAGGUUAGAACGGGUUAAAUUCGUUAAGGAUGUUGACGUAAAUCACUAGUGUCACCCUAAAUAA
rnacentral:rRNA from 1 species